UACGAAGGGGGCUAGCGUUGCUCGGAAUUACUGGGCGUAAAGGGCGCGUAGGCGGACAGUUUAGUCAGAGGUGAAAGCCCAGGGCUCAACCUUGGAAUAGCCUUUGAUACUGGCUGUCUUGGGUUCGGGAGAGGUGAGUGGAAUGCCGAGUGUAGAGGUGAAAUUCGUAGAUAUUCGGCGGAACACCAGUGGCGAAGGCGACUCACUGGCCCGAUACUGACGCUGAGGCGCGAAAGCGUGGGGAGCAAACAGG
rnacentral:rRNA from 1 species